GUCAUUUUGCAAAACAAAUGAAAUAAAUUAAAGAAAAAAAAUCAAAUCAAGCUGAGAGCUGCUAUAUGAGGCUAUUUACUCAGUGCAAUGGAAGAAGGGCCCCGGCAUAUAUGUGUUACCAGCAAAAACCUUUGGACACAGCUGCACAAUAGAUGCUCUUUGGCAGUAGAGCCCGAUGAGGGCUUCCCAUCCUCCCUCAUCUCAGCUUUUUGCUCCUGCUCCCCGCCCAUUUAUCACCCCUUCACCUGAGCUGAUGUAAACACAGGGAGAGCCAUACCCAAAUGAAGGCUUUAGAAAAACCCAAGCUAUCGGAAAAAAACACAAGCAACAUGAUUACAUCCUUUAACAGCAGCAGAGACGCAACAAAGCUGCAGUGCUCAGAUCCCACUGUCGCACUCCACUUCCUCUAAUUACAUCUCCCCCGCUCUCUUGCCUUAGGCUACAGAUAUACGAAGCAGCAAAGCUUGAGGAACCAACUCCAAAGAAAUCGCAUUGGGAGAACAUUAUCCAUCGUCCAUCGAAGGAUAAUUGUCCCCGGAAGCCAGCUUGACUAGUCAGGGGUUAACGUGCUCAUAUCCACACCCUUAAAUAUAAACUCACGGCGACGGCUGUUUGUCUGAUGUGAUUUCCCCUGGCAGCUCCAGCAUCGUCUCUGGUCCCUCGUCCAUGCCACCGCCUCAGGGGUUGUGUCUGUAUAACAUCCCCCUUGACGGAGAUGUGGUGGCACCGACACCAAGAAACUCGUGCACCAAGCGGCAGCCUCCAGCAUGGUCCUUGGUUAAAAUUAUGCUGGGGGCAAAGGUGGUUUAAACAGCUCCAGCCCUUCCUGCUGCCCACUCGCUCCUGUGCUGGCUGCCAUGUGGUCCAGGCUCUAACCUGGAUCAAUGCAAUGACCAUAAACCAACCCAAACCAAAGCCAACGGAAAAAGGAGGGGAUUUUCACUGAUCACUCUAUAGACGUGGGUUUGAUGGAGGUCCCCGCGAGCGGCAGCAGCGUAACCCAUGCGACAUGGAGAAGAAAGGGGGAUCGCCCUGUGAGCAGGAUGCUGGCUUUGCCAUGGGGAACAUCAAACGUGGGAAGCCACCCAGAGACAGAGACACCUCUACAUAGGGGUGAGAACUGGGUGCUGGAUCCCACCAUCACGGUACCCCCAGAUCCUAAAUACCAUCAGGUAGAAAGGAGACUUUAAGCUCAAGCUCAAAACCACCCCUUUUCCCCACUUAUAGCUCUCGCUCUGGUCCUGACCCCGUCCCCCGAUCCUCAACCCCCAGAUGCCAACCCAACAUCCACCCCUCUGCAGCAAGAGGGCCAAGGCGGGGCUGGGGGCCCAGCUGACUGGCCAAGGCUUGGAGAAAGAAGACAUGGUGCAGGGCCAAACAAGGGUCUGAGCAGGGACAGCGGAACUGCGGGUACAUGCAAGUCAAGCUCAAGGACUAAGACAUAGCCAUUGCCCGUGGGCUUGGACUGUCACGGUUGAUGAGCAUAGUGUGGUGGACGGGCAACCACUGAGGUCCUGCCAAGUAACGGGAAUGACAACGAAGGAGUGACAUGCCCAACAGAUUAAUUACAGCACAGCAGAGGCCUCCUCACAAUACCUCAGGUCUUUUCAGAGAGUCGAUCCCAAUUACGCUCUCAUGAGUUUAGGUAGCUGCUCAGCCACGGGAGACACUCAGCUCAGCUCUCCUGUGGAGACACUGCCGAGCCCGAGGAAACACAGUCUAAUCCCUGCUCAGUGAUUGGGAACGUUUCAGAGUCAGGUCAACAACAUCCUUUAGCCCCAAGGCUGCCCCACAAGAUCGCCCCGACUCACCAUCGCUCACCUCUCUCUCCGCUCACCCCCUCGCUGCCUUCGUCACGCACUCCCACUGCAUCUCUCGAGGGCAGAGUUAAGGGGAUUUAAGGACUGGGAAGACACAUGUGUUACAUGUACUGCCUUGCUUGCAGAGGUUUGUGGGUAACUGCACCUGAUAUCCUGGAAGGGCAAUGAGGCAUGGCAGGACAAACUUAAUUCUACAUUAACAGAUUUUUGGGCCGUGCAACUUAUUAAGUCUCAAAGAACUCAACUGAGGCAUUUAUUAUCCUCAUUUAUGCAUCAUCCAUAAAUUAGGCACCCAGGUCUUAAGGAUGAUGGAGUGAAAGAGUCAGGAGAUCAGAAAUCUAAACUCUCUCUGGGUCAUCAUUCAGACAACUGUGUCCUCCUGCUCCCCACCAUGGUUCCUCAAGCCAGUCCACUUCCUUUAUAUGGUCUUUUAAACCAAGGGAAAGAGCAAGGCAGAGGAAUCAGACAAGGUAAGCUCCAACUCUAACAUAGUGCCUACAUAUUCCCAAUGCAGACUAUCCUUUGCCCUUACAGAAACACGCUGCGUGUUUCUCACCACUCAAUGCCACCUUCUUAAGAGCGUCAUGAAGAUAAUAACACUUCUGAUGCUUCUUCUGACGUUGCAUCUACAGGCCCUAUGGCUCUUUCAAUUUGCCAUAAUGACCUAACCCACCAAGCAUUCACACAGAGAUGGAUCAUGUCGAGAGACGUGUCCGUUACAAAAACCAAUGAGGAGACCAUAAACCGCAGCGGUAAAAUUGGCCAUCAGCAGGCAGGUCCCAAAAGGUGCCUCUCAGCAGCUCUGCCAGUUUUAGGACUUUUAAAACACCCAGAGGCCAAGAUAUGUUCGGAGCCUUGCAAACUUCCCAAGGGUGAUUUGCAGCUGGAAACGCUUUAUACAGCAAGGAAAAGUUACAGCAUCACGCCCUGAGCUGCGGGAGCUUGGGCGUGACAUCUGUCACGGGAAGGCAGAGAGGUGAGCGGAAAUGGACCCAAAGGUCUUGGUCCAAGGAGGCCGAAGUCAGCGGGUGAUCAUGAGCACUCCUGACACGGAUCUGCCUCUCCCCAGGGAACACCACUGUUAUUCACCGCAAAAACAGGCUUCCAACAUGGGGAAUAAUCCAGUGCAAUGGAAACUGAGGACCCUCCAACAUCACAAGCUCAGUCUUUGGCACAUCAUUAAGAGGUAUUAAGCCUAACUUUUGCUGUUUAUUUAUCUGAAGGCAGCUAAAAUGAGGCAUCUGUCCUGAGGCGAAACCCUGCAAAGACGUAGCACAGCAGUGUUCACAGACGGGAGCUAUGGGGAGGUCACACUUUGCUUCUCCAAACUAAAUACAAACUGAAACGCCAGCCCCAUUCCGUUCUCGGCUGCCGCCACAGCCCGCUCUCACUCCUCUCUUCCCAUGUGCCCAGCAACGAUGGGACCC